rnacentral:rRNA from 1 species
GACGAACGCUGGCGGCGCGCUUAACACAUGCAAGUCGAACGGUAAGGCCCUUCGGGGUACACGAGUGGCGAACGGGUGAGUAACACGUGGGUGAUCUGCCCUGCACUUCGGGAUAAGCCUGGGAAACUGGGUCUAAUACCGGAUAGGACCACUGCCUGCAUGGGUGGUGGUGGAAAGCUUUUGCGGUGUGGGAUGGGCCCGCGGCCUAUCAGCUUGUUGGUGGGGUGAUGGCCUACCAAGGCGACGACGGGUAGCCGGCCUGAGAGGGUGACCGGCCACAGUGGGACUGAGAUACGGCCCAGACUCCUACGGGAGGCAGCAGUGGGGAAUAUUGCACAAAGGGCGCAAGCCUGAUGCAGCGACGCCGCGUGAGGGAUGACGGCCUUCGGGUUGUAAACCUCUUUCAGCACCGACGAAGCGCAAGUGACGGUAGGUGCAGAAGAAGGACCGGCCAACUACGUGCCAGCCGCCGCCGUAAAAC